rnacentral:rRNA from 1 species
AUGGAACAAGCGACCAACGCGCAUGACGAGCUUAGCCUCGAGCUCACCCUGGUCGCCACCGUGGGAGUGGCGCCGGCAGCGCCUCGCUUCUUCCUCUGCGCCUACUGCGACCGCAGGUUCCUCACUGCGCAGGGGCUCGGUGGCCACCAGAACGCGCACAGGCAAGAGCGCGCCCUUGCCAGGCUCCACGGUGAUGCCGCUGCUGACAUGCACGCCUCCCGGGCAUGGAAGGCUGCUGCUCGGAUGCCUGAGGGGCCCGAGGACGAGGUGCCGGCGGCGGGUGGCAUGGCGCACAAGCGCGGCAGCAGCUGGCCGGAGCCUGACCAAGAGCUGGACUUGUCCCUCCGGCUGUAA